GACGAACGCUGGCGGCGUGCUUAACACAUGCAAGUCGAACGGUGAAGCGCCUUCCUUUUUGGUGGGUGUGGAUGAGUGGCGAACGGGUGAGUAACACGUGAGUAACCUGCCCCCUUCUUCUGGAUAACCGCAUGAAGGUGUGGCUAAUACGGGAUAUUCUGGGUCUGUCGCAUGAUGGGUCUGGGAAAGAUAUUGUUUCGGUGGGGGAUGGGCUCGCGGCCUAUCAGCUUGUUGGUGGGGUGAUGGCCUACCGAGGCGGUGACGGGUAGCCGGCCUGAGAGGGUGGACGGUCACACUGGGACUGAGACACGGCCCAGACUCCUACGGGAGGCAGCAGUGGGGAAUAUUGCACAAUGGGCGCAAGCCUGAUGCAGCGACGCCGCGUGAGGGAUGGAGGCCUUCGGGUUGUGAACCUCUUUCGCCAGUGAAGCAGGCCUGCCUCGUUUGUGGGUGGGUUGACGGUAGCUGGAUAAGAAGCGCCGGCUAACUACGUG
rnacentral:rRNA from 1 species